rnacentral:rRNA from 1 species
AUGCGCGCCCCGGCGAGCCUCCUGCACGGCGCCGCCCUCGCGAACACUGUCACGGGCGAGCCGUCGUCGUCACCGGUGAGCAUGAAGGCCCCUGAGCAGCAGCAGACGGCGCCUGUGAUGGCGUUGAACUCGGACAUGGUGCUCAUCCUAGCAUCGUUGCUAUGUGCGCUCGUCUGUGUCCUUGGACUCGCCCUCGUCUCCCGGUGCACAUGCCGCCGCUGCCGCUCGGCCUCAUACUCCGAUCACGCCCCUCCUCCCCCAAAGGGCCUCAAGAAGAAGGCCAUCCACGCGCUCCCCACCAUCCCCUUCGCCGCCAACGGGGCUUCUCCGACGCCGGCGACAUGCUCGUCGUCAGAGUGUGCGAUCUGCCUGGCGGAGUUCACGGAGGGGGAGGCCCUGCGCGUGCUCCCACGGUGCGGCCACGGUUUCCAUGUCGCAUGCGUCGACGCCUGGCUCCGUACCUGUGCCACAUGCCCCUCCUGUCGUGCCCCCAUCGUUGCCAUGCCAGCGCAGCCGCCAGCGACGACCACGGUGGUGGUCGUGGUGGCGGCAAACAACAGGUGCGGGAGGUGCGGCGAGUUAGCGGCGCCGACCGGUGGUGGCGCUGACACGUUUUUACCUUAG